rnacentral:tRNA from 2 species
UCCGAUAUGGUCUAGUGGCUAGGAUUUGCCGCUCUCACCGGCAAGGCCCGGGUUAGUAACAUCCUCAUCAUCCACUCCAAAAUCCCGUCUAAUAUCUUCAUAGGUUCGAUUCCCGGUGUCGGAA